UACGGAGGGUGCAAACGUUGCUCGGAAUUAUUGGGCGUAAAGCGCACGUAGGCGGACCGUAAAGUCGGACGUGAAAUCCCUCGGCUUAACCGAGGAAGUGCAUUCGAAACUGCCGGUCUUGAGUAUGGAAGAGGGUCGCGGAAUUCCCGGUGUAGAGGUGAAAUUCGUAGAUAUCGGGAGGAACACCAGUGGCGAAGGCGGCGACCUGGGCCAAUACUGACGCUGAGGCGCGAAAGCGUGGGGAGCAAACAGG
rnacentral:rRNA from 1 species